UUUUAUUUGUCCAAUACGAUUAAUUCUUUUUUUAUUUUUGCCAGAAAAUUUCAUUUUUUUGUACUACAUUUCGUAAUUUUUUUUUCUUACUUCAGAAAAAUAGGACUAAAAUUGAACUUGGUAUUAUCACCCCUCCAUAUUCAUACAUUUUUCUUUUUCUGGGGUCAAAUGCAUAAGCAUAGCUUGAAAUUUAUACAGUAUGGAAUUAGUUUUUUUAUAGAGCGCGAGGAGAAGGUGGGAGUGAAACCCUUGUUAGAAUCACAUUUGUGUUAUAUGAUUUUGAGGUAAUAAAACAAGUUACUAUUUUGUGUGGGAAAAAUAAUUGUAUUUACCGAGUUGUCCAUUAAAAUCUGAACACUAAAUUUAAACCUUCAAUAAGGUAUAAUUUAUUAAUAUUAGGGAAACCUGGCACCCGCUUUAGAUGUAGUCCUUAGUCAAUGGGUCCCAGUUCUGGCCGACAGUGGGUUUGAGGGCCUUGGUACUUGAGUGAAAGAUACUGCAGGUCUUCCAUUCAACAUGCACCCAAAGGGUGUAGUCGAGAGGUUUGGCAUCAUACAUGUAGUGGGGCCAAAAGUGGCAAAAAAGAGUUCAAAAUACUCAUUCAAAAGAGUCUUACAGCAAAGGAGAUGGAGAGGAAAGGAUAGUUUCUUUUAUAGCUAGUUUCAAAAUUGGUCUCUCCAUCCUCAAAAGGCCUUUUCCACCCACUUUUUUGAUAACUAUCUAGACAGUUUGGUGUGAAACCCAGAGAUAUCCUCUAUAGGCCCUCAUUGAUUUAAGGCAUGCGCUGUUUUCUUUUAACUCCUCCCGGUCCAGUUUGGCCUUUUUAACAGAUCCCUUCUUUCUUUCUAAUCUUUUGACUAGCAGACGGCGUAGACGGUGGUCUUGGAGAAGCCUCACGGCAUAUACAUUCGUCGAUUACGUUCAAAUGUCAUUUCCUCGACUUGUACGUCAGCUAGAGAGCUCUGGCUUUUUGUUUUAUAGUUAAUUGUUUACACUUUAAUAUAUCUAAAUAUGAAUUAAUUUCAAUCACCUUAAUUAUUUAUUGAAUUAGUAAGUGCAAGACUCGUUUGAAUUACUUUUUGACAAUUUUUUCUCCCUACAAUCCUGAUGCCAACCCCCUUGACUACACAUUCUGGGCGUAUGUUACUUUUUUCACUCAAUAUAGUCACCUCCAUUAUUAAUCACAGCAUAUACACGUCGCCUGAAGGCCAUGAUGAAUUGAUAACAAAAUCCUCAGACAAGUUAUCCUAUAUAGCCACUAUGGAGGACUUCAGUGAGUCCUAUAUUUGGAUGUGAGGUUUCUGUUGGUUUCCCUCUCCAAAGUGCUUGUAUAGAAAAGUCAACUGGAUACAAAUCUGGUGUGGAAGGAGGCCAUAUCUCUUUAGAACACAAUUGAGCCAUAUUAUCUGGGUAGAACAUUUGGCACUUGGCGGACGUGUGGGAGGGGGUGCCGUCCUGAGUCCCUCCGGAUAGUCUGUCUUCAGCCAUGGGGCCACAACGUCGAGGACCAUUGUUCGGGCCGGAUAUUUGGUGUGGUAACCCCUUGGAUCUCUGCUUUUGUUUCUGCAACCCAGUGGUUGUUCCAGCACUUGUAAAAUUGAUCAACAGUGAAAUUCUUCUUUUCCGAGAAAAUUUUCACAAUUGACCCAUUUGCCUUGAUGGGAUGUGAGGAUUCUCUUGUGCCUAUCACGCCUCCUGGCUUCCAUUUCCUCUGUCCGAAGGUGGUGUGGGAUCCUUGUGAAAAAUAUAUCACAAGCUGUGUUUUAUAAUCCUCGUAUUGGGUUAGGAGCUCAGAGAAGUUGUUGGGGAGGCGAUAUAUCGACUUAUUGGGAUCCUAAUUUAUAUUCUGGAGAGCUUUUCUCCAAUUGUUUCAUCUUGGCCAACAUAAAAACCAGGCUUCUAGAACACUUAACAAUGUCCGUUAUCUUCAUCACAUCAACUCAAGCAUCUAGUAGAUCUGAAAUGCACUGUCUUUUUGCUCGCUCAUGAUGAUGAAAUGUCUAUAUGAUUCGUUGAGCUUGUUUAGGUAAUAAGGAUGGUUAAAACAGAAUAUCAAUAAAUUAUCACUAAAUCUUUUCAUAGUAAUGAGGAAA
rnacentral:lncRNA from 1 species